UACGGGGGGGGCAAGCGUUGUUCGGAAUUACUGGGCGUAAAGGGCUCGUAGGCGGCCAACUAAGUCGGAUGUGAAAUCCCCAGGCUUAACCUGGGAACUGCAUCCGAUACUGGAUGGCUUGAAUUCGGGAGAGGGAUGCAGAAUUCCUGGUGUAGCGGUGAAAUGCGCAGAUAUCAGGAAGAACACCCGUGGCGAAGGCGGCUCUCUGGGACGGUACUGACGCUGAGACGCGAAAGCGUGGGGAGCGAACAGG
rnacentral:rRNA from 1 species